rnacentral:rRNA from 1 species
UACAGAGGGUGCAAGCGUUGUUCGGAAUUAUUGGGCGUAAAGCGCGUGUAGGCGGCUUUGCAAGUCGGGUGUGAAAGCCCUCAGCUCAACUGAGGAAGAGCGCCCGAAACUGCAGAGCUUGAGUGCCGGAGAGGGUGGCGGAAUUCCCCAAGUAGAGGUGAAAUUCGUAGAUAUGGGGAGGAACACCGGUGGCGAAGGCGGCCACCUGGACGGUAACUGACGCUGAGACGCGAAAGCGUGGGGAGCAAACAGG